GUUUCACCAUAUAUAAAUUACAGCAGUGUUUAUACAUAAAAAAUUGUCAAUUCUGGAGUGGCCAAGACAAUCACCUGAUUUGAACCCAAUUGAGCAUGUCGUUUAUAUGCUGAAGAGAAAACUGAAGGGUCUAGCCCCCAAAACAAGUAUAAGUUAAAGAUGGGUGCAAUUCAGGCGUGGCAGAGCAUUACCAGAGAAGACACCCAGCAACUGGUGAUGUCAAUGAAUCACAGACUUCAAGCAGUCAUUGCAUGCAAAGAAUAUGCUACAAAAUA